CACACACAAGCGCACGUCCUCAACGCACGUCAGGCGAGGAGCAGCUCCGAAGAAUACCGAAGAAACGCCAAACAUUCUCAGCAAGACAGGUAUCGAGUGAAGUCACAGUUUCCGCGUGCAGAGCGCGCUUUUGGUGGUGUGGUUCGGUGUGUGGCCGUGGUUCGAACCGUGGCCGUCCCUUCCCGCAGCGGCCAGCGGAAUCAGUGUGCUGUGUGGCGCAAGAUCGGAUCGUUCCCUGGAAACUAAGUAUGGGUGUCGCCAGCAGAAAACGGAAGACGAGCAAAAAUUAUGCACCCAUUCAACAACUUGCAGCAGCUUCCAGGGAAGUGCCAGUAGUGCAAUGAAAAAAUCCGGAGCAACCAUCCUCACUGGGUGUGCUGGUGUGGGUGCGUGCACGUACGUGACAGCCAGCUGGCGCUAUACAGGAUCGCCAACGACGUCAGGGGGUGACUGCAGUCAAUAACAAUCGUGCUGGUUGUGAAGAAACCGGUACAUUAUCAAGCAACGCCCCGCCGCUACAUCCUCCAUAACGCUGAGAUGUGAAUUCUCUCCUCGAAUGUGGGGUGGCAAAACGCAGAACGACGGCACCACUACCAUCCAAUCAUCCCGACCCCCCGCUCAAUAGCUUGUUGGCAAUCGCGCGGUACAAAAAAAAAGGGCAAGAGAACCUGAGGACGGGGAGCGCACCCCUUAUCCCGGUACGGCGGUUCCGCGGGUUGCUGCUAUUUCGUGAAGGAGAACACCACCACCGGGCCACCACGAGAUUUUAAUGAGUUUUCGUCGUCCCACUGCUCCCCGUUGUGGAGCCGAUGAUAAUCAUCAAACCUUUAUCAGGGCGCCGUUUUGACUAUACUUCCGGUUGGUCUUUUUUUUGGCGGCGUCAUGUACAACGUGUGUCACAAAUGUUCUGGCGGCACAGGAACAACCUCUACCCUCCCAACCGUAGGCCAUGAAUGUGGAUCAUUGAAGCGCACACACACACACACUGCUAAAUCUAAUCAGAAACACCAUCCCCCUGCCACCCGCUCCCUGGUCACCUUCUCGCGAUCGCCUCGAUCAUCAUCAAGUCCAUUGAGGGUUGCUGCUGGUGUUGCUGCUGCUGUUGCCGUGUGCCUCUGCUCUCCACCUAACGAUCGCAGUAGGGCCAGUCGGGGAAUGGGCAGGCGAAUUUCUUCAUCAAUUAGCCUGUCAGCUACACCAACGGCGCGCGCGGGAGGAGCGCUACGUCGUCGGCGGGUGAUGAAGAAGGGGGGAGGAGGAGAGAGUGCACAUUCCAUUCGCGCAGCAGCAGAGCUCGGUGGAUGGAUGGAGAGCUGUUGUUCGGAUGAUGGCUUUCCCGACCCCAGGAACGCCGCAACCAUGUUGCUGCUGAUGCUGCUGCUGCUUCUGCAACCCUUCAUUGUGUGUGUGUUUGUGUGGUUGCCUGUGGCUGCUCAAGCACGUCAAACACAACACACUACCCGCGACUCGAGAUGUGGUGGUAGGCUCGUGUUUAAGGUUCCGUCUCAAUACAACGCGGGGAGCGCUUCCUUUUUGGCCCCAGCUCUGUCGGGCACAGAAGAAAACUGUUGGCCAGCCACGAAAUCAAUUCGCCGGCAACAGACACACCGCUCCUGGUAGCAGCAGCAGCAGCAGUUCGUCGACCCGCGCGGGCACGACGUUGCAUUCCAUUGGUGGAGCAGAGAGAGAGAGGGAGAAUAGGGCGGCUGCGCGCCUGUGUGUCACCACACACAGCUCCCCAGUGAAACGAGUCUCUCUGUUUCUGUUUCGGUGCUUUUUGUGUGUGCGUGCGCCCAAAACGCCGCAGACAAACAGGAGGAGAUAUGGUUAUGGUGGUAGCCAUUGACUUUCUUUGACCGCGAAAGCUCCCAAAGCCUGCGCAGACAUCAAUUCUGGCGAUAAGAGGAAACAACUCAUGGGAACGGAAGCAGCAGACACACGGGGGAGAGGAGUGGUGGACCCCAAUGGGUUCCCUUUACUCAAGAAUUUCCCCCAAUAUGUCCCGUUUCGACGUGUGUGUGUGUGUAUCGGUGCUGAGAUUGAAGUGUUGAUCGUGUGCUGAUCAUCGUUAAAAGUUGAAGGACCCACCGAUCCUGUUUCGUUAUGUGUGUUGAUCGGGUUGUGAUUUCGUCGUCGGGAUCGGAGUGGGAGAGGGUGUGUGUGUGUGUGGAUGAAAUGUAAUCACAGAA